AGGGCAGCAUCCCGCCUCCCGCCGCGCCUGCCGCCAGCCGCGCAUCGCGCCCGAUGUUCCCAAUGACCGUGCCCGCUCCCUGCUCCUCCGGCACCGAGUAAUUCAGGUUCUUCAGGGACAGGGCAGGAGCCCAGCAGAAGAAGAAGCAACAAAUGGAAAGGUGGCCCCUUGCAAACAGACGGUCGCCAGUCUUAGCCAGACAGCACGCGGAGCGAACGCCGAUCCCCGAUAAACCAGAUCCAUUUCACCAGCCGCCCGCAGGUUACAACAAUCCAUUGAUACCGACAACAUGCGUGGACUACUUAGAGGGAAAAUAAAAUCUGAAACACUAGCGCUGGAUCUUCAAACCUCUGACUGAGUGCCAGGUGAUAAUAAUGAAUGAAACUCCUUGCUCUACAAGUCACUUUGGUUUUGUGGUGUUAAGUUCAGCAGAGCUGCAUUUUAAUACUCAUUCUCAGCCUACAAGAUAAAUACUUUCACAGAGAAAGGAGCCUAAAAUAGCAUG